CCUACGGGGGGCAGCAGUAGGGAAUAUUGCUCAAUGGGGGAAACCCUGAAGCAGCAACGCCGCGUGGAGGAUGAAGGUUUUCGGAUUGUAAACUCCUUUUGUUAGAGAAGAUAAUGACGGUAUCUAACGAAUAAGCACCGGCUAACUCCGUGCCAGCAGCCGCGGUAAUACGGGGGGUGCAAGCGUUACUCGGAAUCACUGGGCGUAAAGAGGGCGUAGGCGGGUUAGCAAGUCAGAUGUGAAAUCCUAUGGCUUAACCAUAGAACUGCAUUUGAAACUGUUAUUCUAGAGUAUGGGAGAGGUAGGUGGAAUUCUUGGUGUAGGGGUAAAAUCCGUAGAGAUCAAGAGGAAUACUCAUUGCGAAGGCGACCUGCUAGAACAUAACUGACGCUGAUGCGCGAAAGCGUGGGGAGCAAACAGGAUUAGAUACCCGGGUAGUC
rnacentral:rRNA from 1 species